UCCGGUUUGUCACCGGCAGUCCCAUUAGAGUGCUCAACUGAAUGUAGCAACUAAUGGCAAGGGUUGCGCUCGUUGCGGGACUUAACCCAACAUCUCACGACACGAGCUGACGACAACCAUGCAGCACCUCUGCUGGCUCCCUUGCGGGUCAGCCACUGUUUCCAGCGGCUUACCACCAGUAGUUCAAGCCCAGGUAAGGUUCUUCGCGUUGCGUCGAAUUAAACCACAUGCUCCACCGCUUGUGCGGGCCCCCGUCAAUUCCUUUGAGUUUCAACCUUGCGGCCGUACUCCCCAGGCGGCUCAUUUAAUGCGUUAGCUUCGGCGCAGGGGGGGUCGAUACCUCCCACACCUAAUGAGCAUCGUUUAUGGCUAGGACUAC
rnacentral:misc_RNA from 1 species